rnacentral:misc_RNA from 1 species
AAUCCGAGAAUUUCACCUCUUCCAUAGGAAUACGAAUACCCCCAACUGUCCCUAUUAAUCAUUACUCUGGUGUGCAAACCAACAAAAUAGACCACCAGUGUCGUAUCUUAUUAUUCCAUGCUAAUCUAUUCAAGGCAAACGCCUGCUUUAAACACUCUAAUUUUUUCACAGUAAACGAUGCAAGUCCACAAAACCAGACAACUUAAUGCCAGUUAAGGGCCCUCACAAAGAAUGAACUUGGUUACCUUAGUACGCAUUCACUAAAAGCAAACGGACCGGAAACCAAGUACAAAAAUCCAACUACGAGCUUUUUAACUGCAACAACUUUAAUAUACGCUAUUGGAGCUGGAAUUA